CCCCCAACCCAGCUGAGUCUCCACAAUCACUAGGCCAGCUUUGUCUCCUGCUCCAAUGAUCCUCUCGAGUGGAAUCAUUCAGGAAACUUCAGCUGGAGAUCCCUUCCAUGCUGCCUACUUGCCUCAUUCUUGGCAUGCUGAUCCCUGGCAAUGCAUCAGCUUUCUCCACUCCACUAGCUGUCCUGUGACUAUCCUAUGAAGCUUCACCUGCUAUUUGGAGAGAUCAAGGAAGUGCCUGUUAGCAUCUUUUUAUACUCUCUGUGAACAUGAUGAAGAACUAACAGAGUUCUCAGCCUCUAGGCUUGUGCGUCUCUCUCUCCUGUCACAGGACUUUGCAAUGUGUGGAUUUUAAAAACUCAAGAAG